AUGCCUGUGAGCUUCACAACCCUUAAAGAUUCAGUGUGGGAAUUUAUUGUAGAUAAAUACCUUAAGUGUUUCGGGUCCUGGAUUGGCAAUGCUGCAUCCAGCGGGGGCAGACUUACUUUGCUUACCUCGGUUUUAGCACAACUAUCUUUAUAUCAUAUGUCCAUGUGGCUUAUGAGUAAAACUUUCGUAGAAAGGCUGGACAAGCACCGUCGUAAAUUCUUUUGGCACAGGUGCAAUAAGAAGAAUAGAUAUUACCUGGUCAAAUAGAAGAUGGUGUGUAGAUCGAAGAGCAAAGGGGGUCUGGGUGUCAAAGACCUCAGGAAACAAAACAUCAGCCUAAUGGUGAAAUGGUGGUGGAAAUUAGAAACUCAAACUGGGGUUUGGCAAAACUUGGUGAGAGCCAGAUAUUUACAAAACAAGUCGGUAGCAAAUGUGCAACCUAGACAAUCUGACUCCCCAUGCUGGAAAUCUCUUCUAAAAGUCGGGGAGUUGUACAUGAUGGGGAGGAAAAUUAAGCUGGGAUGCGGCAACCUGAGCAAGGUUUGGAAAGACUCAAUUGAUGGGAUGCCCCCACUCAAUUCGAGGUUCCCUCGGCUGUUUGAAAUCUAUACAAAUCAGGACUGUACGGUCCAAAACUUUAACAAGGUAGAGGCUUCGACAUUUUUUAGAAGGCGUCUAUGCCCUGAUCUUAGAGAACAGUGGUAUAAGGUGCGGCAGUAA
rnacentral:rRNA from 1 species